rnacentral:misc_RNA from 1 species
AUAUAUAUCAACCUGUCUGGUUGGAUGGUGGGUUUGCUGGCCUUUUUGGGUCAGCUCACCUUAAAUGCAUUAGCGGACAAUAUUUUGUGAACUGUUCAUUGGUGUGAUAAUUAUCUAUGCUAUUGAAUGUGAAGCAAGGUUCAGCUACUAACGGUCCAUUGACUUGGACAAAAUUAUUUUUAUUA